rnacentral:ncRNA from 2 species
AGGACCAGAAGAGGUGCGUUGACCAGGUAACCAGCAAGAGGGGCCCUUUCCCUAAGACAGCUGGCCAGGGGGUAAACGCCGAGAUGCACGGCGCGGGGGCGCGCGGUGUCAUCGGUCAGACAGGUUGAAUCCUGUUGACUGUCACCUGAUUUGGUGGAGCGCUUCUGGUACA